AACGAACGCUGGCGGCAGGCCUAACACAUGCAAGUCGAACGCCCUAGCAAUAGGGAGUGGCAGACGGGUGAGUAACACGUGGGAACCUUCCCUGUAGUACGGAAUAGCCCAGGGAAACUUGGAGUAAUACCGUAUACGCCCGAAAGGGGAAGAUUUAUCGCUAUAGGAUGGGCCCGCGUAGGAUUAGCUAGUUGGUGAGGUAAUGGCUCACCAAGGCGACGAUCCUUAGCUGGUUUGAGAGAACGACCAGCCACACUGGGACUGAGACACGGCCCAGACUCCUACGGGAGGCAGCAGUGGGGAAUCUUGCGCAAUGGGCGAAAGCCUGACGCAGCGACGCCGCGUGAGGGAUGACGGCCUGUGUAAC
rnacentral:rRNA from 1 species